UAGACCUUAGAUACCUAGAUGUUCGUGUUGCUAAGUUUCAGGCUAUUUGUUUCUCUUUCUUCCAAAUGACUCAAGGAUUAGAAAGUAUGAGUACAAAAUCACUCCUGCAAUCUAUGAAGGGAUACCUAGCUCGUAGUAAGUCGAUUGUUUGACUUUGUAAUGAAUUGUACAUCUAUUGUUAAAUUUUAUCUUCACCUUCUUUUUUCCCCUUGAUCUACAUUCUCAUUUCAGAGUUGUGUUAUGCAUCCUAUGAUGUUCAAUGAUCGUCUCCGGAUACAUAUCAUGAAAAUGAAUUCAAUGUGCAAUAUGUAUAUAUAUAUAUAUACACACACACACACACGUGUCCAUCAUUAACCACUCCCAUUUUUUGGUAUCAUCAGCGCUCGGGACAAUUCAGUCAUCAGGGUUCCAAAACAACCAACACAAAAACCUCUUGAGCAAAAAUAAUCAUCUCGAGUCCAAAAUCUAACUCAAUCAGCUUUUGACAAACCAACCAAUUGAGCUCAUUGACACCCAAUAAUCCAAAUAAGAAAAACAAAAUCAUGCUCAGAUGUAAUCAAUCAAAAUAUAAAAUAAACAAACCACAACACACUUCCCACGCAUUCCCAAUUCCUUCAACAACACAUGCAUCAACUAUAGAAACACAACAUCUUCCAGAACAGAGCAAUAAAGAUUUGAAAAUUUAGAACUUGAACACAGAACACCCAUUUAGCUGCUGAGGAAAACAGAGGAAAGAAUCAAUCAAAGAUGCAAAAAAACCAAUUAAAAUCAUUAAAAAAACAAAAUUUUAAAAAAAUCUUGUUUCUACAGGCUUGCAACAAUUGCUUAACAAAAUCUGAAAAUAAGGGAAUUAGGGCUUGGAAAUGAAAAUUAUAAUUUACCUGGGAGAGAAAGAAACUGCUCCUUUUUUUGCUCUCUGUUUCUCUCUCUAUUUUUGUGCUUUAAUUCUCCACCGCUAAUGGAAACUGUUAUUUGUCUGCGUGUCUGAGAGAGAGAGAGUAUGUUAAUGUUUUUGGGCAGGACAGAUAGUACUAUAGAAGUAGUAGUAGUAGUAGUUAUUACCCGCGUACUUUCACUGCAAUAACCAAU
rnacentral:lncRNA from 1 species